CUUAAGUUCUUUCCACCUUUCACCUCCUCCUAAUCUUAUCCAUGGCUAAAAUAACAAGCCAGCCCUAACAACCUGCUCGGAAUUUAACUCCGUCGAACAAGCCCUAACUCUAUUUUCAUAUUAUUAUGUUGUGUUGAUAAUUUUUUAUCAUACAUUUCCUCUGUUAAUGUUGUCUUUGGAUUUGUUGAAGAUCUCCACUCCACUCCACUAAAGAUCCGCCAUUUUUCUGAACAAAUGGUAGUAGGUUUGUUCCUCCGAGCUUUCACCUCAUCCCAUCCCUUUCCUCACAAUUUCAACUUUACGACGUUUUUCUGAGCUUUAGGUUUGAAAAUACCCGGCCGCCUUCUCGACCACAGGCUACUACUUAUGAUUUUGGACGUCUAUAUAUACGAAUCACAUGGCGCAUUUCAAACCUUAAAGUACGAGCUUAAUAAAGAGAUCCGUCCAGUAUUUACUCUUACAUUAGGGCCUACAAGGCCACCAAAACUCUUUACGAAAGCGGAACUCUUAGAGCGUAUGCAUGAGUCAAGCAAUGGGACUGAUGCUACAAGGCAUAAACAUAUCAAGAAUUUGAUUCACAGGUCUUAUAAUAUUAAGAGUUGUAACAACAUUUAGAUCUCAAAAGACCUACUCGGCUCCAAACCAUCUUUCUGGGGUUAGCAUGUGCGCCACUGUUUCCCCCUUUGAUCAUUCAAUGUCCGCCUACUACCGAAAAGAUCAUGUGCUACUGCUGCGUCUUCACCCUGCUACUUCACAUUAAGACUGAUGUGAAACAACCACAAGGAUUGUGUAUUGUCCCAAAUUUGGAGGAUCUCCAAAUGCGAACACCGUCGGAGCUGCUGGAUACAUCAGCGUCAACUUGCUUCAAGAGGCCAAUGCGGCUAAGGGAAGACAAGACCAACAUGCUCUUCCGCCAGGUGGUUUACUUCAACCCCGGGUGUGAUUAUGCGAGGCUAGGACCGUUCCUGGUUGAGGCCAAGAAGGUCCUCACCCCGGACGGACCCCCGACGGCUUGGUGCGUUUGGCCAGCCUACCGAACCUUACCUCAAGUGGACUCUGGAGCAAGUGGGUCAUGAGAAGGGGCUGGUGUGCUCCUCGGAGAUUACCAUCCCCUAGGGUGGUCGAAAGGGACACCCCCUUCCUGUUGUCGGAUGAUUUUUGCUUUUUGGUAUAUUAUCUUUACACAAGACUCAAAUUGUUAGAAGAAAUACUGUAAUUUUAAUUUCAUCAAGUAGAAAGCUUGCGGCGGCGAA